rnacentral:rRNA from 1 species
CCUCCCACCCGUGUAUACCGUACCCUGUUGCUUCGGCGGGCCCGCCUCACGGCCGCCGGGGGGCCUCGCGCCCCCGGGCCCGCGCCCGCCGAAGACCCCAACACGAACACUGUCUGAAAAGUGCAGUCUGAGUCGAUUGUUACCAAUCAGUCAAAACUUUCAACAAUGGAUCUCUUGGUUCCGGCAUCGAUGAAGAACGCAGCGAAAUGCGAUAACUAAUGUGAAUUGCAGAAUUCAGUGAAUCAUCGAGUCUUUGAACGCACAUUGCGCCCCCUGGUAUUCCGGGGGGCAUGCCUGUCCGAGCGUCAUUGCUGCCCUCAAGCACGGCUUGUGUGUUGGGCCCCGUCCCCGGUACCCCCGGGGACGGGCCCGAAAGGCAGCGGCGGCACCGCGUCCGGUCCUCGAGCGUAUGGGGCUUUGUCACCCGCUCCGCAGGCCCGGCCGGCGCCAGCCGACCAACCCAACCAUUUUCUACAGGUUGACCUCGGAUCAGGUAGGGAUACCCGCUGAACUUAAGCAUAUCAAUA